GAUGAAGAACGCAGCGAAAUGCGAUAAGUAGUGUGAAUUGCAGAAUUCAGUGAAUCAUCGAAUCUUUGAACGCACAUUGCGCCCCUUGGUAUCCCGAGGGGCAUGCCUGUUCGAGGGUCAUUUCACCACUCAAGCCUGGCUUGGUGUUGGGCGACGUCCUCUUUGGGGACGCGCCUCGAAACGCUCGGCGGCGUGGCACCGGCUUUAAGCGUAGCAGAAUCUUUCGCUUUGGAAGUCGGGGCCCCGUCUGCCGGAAGACCUGCUCGCAAGGUUGACCUCGGAUCAGGCAGGGAUACCCGCUGAACUUAAGCAUAUCAAUAAGCGGAGGA
rnacentral:misc_RNA from 1 species